GAAGACAGACUGGCACCUGCUCACUUCAACCUAUAUGAUCAUGUGCCAUGGAACAUGUUGGUCAAUAAAACCACGUAUAUGAUGGACUGUGUUGUAUCGCUGUUGUAACACUGCCUGGAUGCACAGUGGCCUACGUCAUGUAGGUUUCUUUAAGGACAUUCAUUGUACAUGAACAAUGAUGGAAUUGCCCAGUGAUAAAUUCCCAGACCAUAUUCUUACUGGAAAGAGAAUCAUUCAUUAGAGUGAAAAGUAAAUGCCUUCUGCAAAGAUUAUGGUGCUCCCGUGGCUAUUUUAAGUCAGGAAGUAUGUGAAAAUCACAAUGAGCCAGUGCGAACCUGUGAAGUCUUGUCAUCCAGAAAUGGCCAGUAAUAGCAUUUUAGUGGGUUUUUCACUUUUUAAAUUUCCUGUCCAUACAUUUUUUUCUUAUUCAUUUUCUUUUUUUCUAGGAAAUUGAGGUUUUGCUAUAGUUAAAAUUUUUUAUGUCAUAUUAUAAUGUGGGCAUUUUUCAUAUCCUUAUUAUGGAGAACAUAAUUUUAAGCUCUAGUAAAUAAACCAUCAUUUGAAUAAGUUAAACCUCCUCUAUUGUUAGGCACUUAGAUUAUUUCCACUUUGUAAAAUGUUAAUAAAGAACAUGCUGACAUACAAUGCUAGACCAGCUAUCUCUCUACGUUAUUACCAGAGAUUUGUAGAAGUAGAAUUGCUUUUGCAAAAGUAUGAAGAUUUAUUUUCUGUUUUUAUCUUUAAUGCUAAUUUUUAUUAUAACAGCAACAGUCUCCCAUUAGCGGCACAAAAAUAAAAAUAGCUAGCUGUUCCACUUUGCCAUUUCAAACCCUAGAAGUGUCCUUUUUAUGUUUUUAUUUAUUAUUUUGAGAAUUUUGUGCAAUAUAUUUUGAUCAUUUGUCUCCUACCCUCCCACUCACUCAACUUCAUAUUCUUUCUCUCUCUUAAAAAACACAUUCAAAAAAGGUAGAAUCAGACUUGUACCCAUUUCCCCUUCUCUGAGUUGCGAUUUUGGCUGGCUUGACCUUGUGCAGACCCUGUGCAUGCCGUCAAAGUCUCCGUGAGCUCAUAUGAGCACCAGUCCUGUUGUAUCUGGGAGAUGCUAUUUCCUUGGAGUCCUGCACCACCUCCUCUUCUACGCAGAUCCCUGAGCCUUGAGGGGAGUUUGAUAAGCUCAUUCCUUUUGGGCCGAGAGCUCCGAAGUCUCUCACACUCUGCAUACUGUCCAUCUGUGGGUGUGUCUGGUCAUUCCCAUCUACUGCAAGAAGAAGCCCUCUGAGGAGGGCUGAAUGUCUCAUGGAUGUACAGAUAGAACAGAGUGUCAUUGGGAUUCAUUGCUAGGUCCCUUUAGCAGGAUAAUAGUGGGUUAGAAGUGCUUAUUUGAUUGUGAUAAAUGGUUGGUUUCUAUAUUUUCAGACAGGUGAAUACAUAUAAAAAUGCCUUAAAUGUGUUUAUAUUUAUUCCGCUUCUGAUGUAUAUCGCUGCAUUGUUUCCUCAAACAGUUACUCUGCUCCCUCCACCAAUGAAGAAGCAUUCACUCUCCCAAGCCUUUCUGUCAACUUUUCCUCCCACCCCUAACAUGCUCCUUCACUGGCAAUUAUAUAGUUUGUAUCAGUCAACAGACAGAAGAAGGAAACACUGCUUUCUACUAGAAAUAUAUUGUGUUAGUAAUUCCAGGACCGAAGAAAAAAAAAUUUUUUAAAGAUAGGCAGAUGUGAAAAUGUAAGCGCCUUGAAGGCCUGAUGUUAAUUUCUUAAUAAAUAUUCGCCAAAUAACAUGUUGCCAAG
rnacentral:lncRNA from 1 species